CCUACGGGGGGCAGCAGUGGGGAAUAUUGGACAAUGGGGGCAACCCUGAUCCAGCCAUGCCGCGUGUGUGAAGAAGGCCCUCGGGUUGUAAAGCACUUUCAGUGAGGAAGAACGCCUGGUGGUUAAUACCCAUCAGGAAAGACAUCACUCACAGAAGAAGCACCGGCUAACUCCGUGCCAGCAGCCGCGGUAAUACGGAGGGUGCGAGCGUUAAUCGGAAUUACUGGGCGUAAAGCGCGCGUAGGUGGCUUGAUAAGCCGGUUGUGAAAGCCCCGGGCUCAACCUGGGAACGGCAUCCGGAACUGUCAAGCUAGAGUGUCGGAGAGGAAGGUAGAAUUGCCGGUGUAGCGGUGAAAUGCGUAGAGAUCGGGAGGAAUACCAGUGGCGAAGGCGGCCUUCUGGACUGACACUGACACUGAGGUGCGAAAGCGUGGGUAGCAAACAGGAUUAGAUACCCUGGUAGUC
rnacentral:rRNA from 1 species